AGUGCAAACACUAUUAGAGAGAGUAAUAGAGACGACGAACGAUGAUGUGUAGAAGAUAUAGUCAGCAGCUCUGCCUGUAUUCAUCAUCCACUCGCGAGCAGCAGUGCAGCAGGCGGCUCCCGCAUCGUGCAACUGUUGGAGGCAUCAUGCACGCCGCGAGUGCAUCAUCAGGUGGAAGGCUGCGAGAGGCUUCUGGCAGCAGCAAGAAGCCCGCUUUUAGGCCAGCUUCCUGGUUGCCCGACCUCGGGGAGGGGUGUUUUCUUUUAGUGCAAAAAAGGGCAUGGCUUACGGGCCCGGUUAUGGCCGAGCUGUGGAUCGGCGGCGGUCGCUUGCGACACGUGCUGUGCCAGCAGUUCGGUCCUGGUCGAGCUCCCACAUUGCCUAUUCUCGGUGUAAGAGCUGGUCAUCUCUCCGACCCGUCUUGAAACACGGACCAAGGAGUUUAUCGUGUGCGCGAGUCAUUGGGCGUUGAAAACCCAAAGGCGCAAUGAAAGUGAAGUGCCACGCAAGUGGCUGAUGUGCGAUGUUGUGUUCCACGGAACACGACCGCAGCAUGGCCCCAUCCUGGCUGCUUGCAGCGGGGUGGAGGAAGAGCGUGCGCGAUGAGACCCGAAAGAUGGUGAACUAUUCCUGAGCAGGAUGAAGCCAGAGGAAACUCUGGUGGAAGUCCGAAGCGAUUCUGACGUGCAAAUCGAUCGUC
rnacentral:rRNA from 1 species